AGGCGGCGAACGGGUGAGUAACACGUGAGUUACCUGCCCCUGACUCUGGGAUAAGCCUGGGAAACCGGGUCUAAUACCGGAUGUGACCUCCUCCGGCAUCGGAUGGUGGUGGAAAGUUUUUCGGUCAGGGAUGGGCUCGCGGCCUAUCAGCUUGUUGGUGGGGUAGUGGCCUACCAAGGCGACGACGGNUAGCCGGCCUGAGAGGGCGACCGGCCACACUGGGACUGAGACACGGCCCAGACUCCUACGGGAGGCAGCAGUGGGGAAUAUUGCGCAAUGGGCGGAAGCCUGACGCAGCGACGCCGCGUGGGGGAUGACGGCCUUCGGGUUGUAAACCUCUUUCAGCAGGGACGAAGUUGACGUGUACCUGCAGAAGAAGCGCCGGCUAACUACGUGCCAGCAGCCCGCGGUAAUACGUAGGGCGCAAGCGUUGUCCGGAAUUAUUGGGCGUAAAGAGCUCGUAGGUGGCUGGUCGCGUCUGCCGUGAAAGCCCGCAGCUUAACUGCGGGUCUGCGGUGGAUACGGGCCGGCUAGAGGUAGGUAGGGGCAAGUGGAAUUCCU
rnacentral:rRNA from 1 species